GACGAACGCUGGCGGCGUGCUUAACACAUGCAAGUCGAACGGAAAGGCCCUGCUUUUGUGGGGUGCUCGAGUGGCGAACGGGUGAGUAACACGUGAGUAACCUGCCCUUGACUUUGGGAUAACUUCAGGAAACUGGGGCUAAUACCGGAUAGGAGCUCCUGCUGCAUGGUGGGGGUUGGAAAGUUUCGGCGGUUGGGGAUGGACUCGCGGCUUAUCAGCUUGUUGGUGGGGUAGUGGCUUACCAAGGCUUUGACGGGUAGCCGGCCUGAGAGGGUGACCGGCCACAUUGGGACUGAGAGACGGCCCAGACGCCUACGGGAGGCAGCAGUGGGGAAUAUUGCACAAUGGGGGGAAGCCUGAUGCAGCAACGCCGCGUGCGGGAUGACGGCCUUCGGGUUGUAAACCGAUUUCGCCUGUGACGAAGCGGGAGUGACGGUAAUGGGUAAAGAAGCACCGGCUAACUACGUG
rnacentral:rRNA from 1 species